UGGGUGGGUGGAUGAAGAAAGAAGCCAUGGGUCGAUGAAGAACGCAGCAAGCUACGAUAAUCGGUGCGAAUUGCAGGACACGCCGAGCACUUGAGCUUUUAACGCACAUUGCGGCUUUGGUCUUUUUCCAAAGUCACAUAUGUAUGAGAGUUGAGAACGGAAAUCUAACUAAAAGAUAUAGAUGAUACUCCCAAUAAUCACUAUAUCAGGCAUAGUCUGCCUUGAUAAUAUAUUCUUGUUCUUGAAGAGAUGUUUUGUUCUCUUCUAGUCAGGAGAUGUUUGUCCCAAACAUGUACAACUGUGGUUCACUGCUCCUGGUGACUAAGACAUCCAUAGAGACAAACCUUGGGGUCGUACCCUUCAGAUGAAGAUAAAGUCGGGCCCUGAUGUGGACAUCGUAGUAGAAGAGGUUAUACUCGAGGACCAAGCAGUGUCUUUGCUGCAUCGCUAAUGGAGAGUAAUAUUAUCCAUGUACUUGGUUGGUGGCAUAUAUUGAUUGGCUGGCAGGCAGGCUGGCUGUGCAACACAAUAUAUAUAACACCAG
rnacentral:rRNA from 1 species